rnacentral:rRNA from 1 species
UACGUAGGGGGCAAGCGUUGUCCGGAAUCAUUGGGCGUAAAGAGCGUGUAAGCGGCCAGAUAAGUCCGCUGUGAAAACUCGAGGCUCAACUUCGAGCUGUCGGUGGAAACUAUUUGGCUAGAGUCCGGAAGAGGAGAGUGGAAUUCCUGGUGUAGCGGUGAAAUGCGCAGAUAUCAGGAGGAACACCGGUGGCGAAGGCGGAUCUCUGGGCCUUACCUGACGCUCAGGCGCGAAAGCUAGGGGAGCGAACAGG